GUGCAUUGCUUAACAAACUGGAAAAGCUAAGAGAAGUGGCUAAGACAUGGCAUAAAAUGUUUAUCUGUAGGACAGAUAAACAUUGUUGCCCCCAUAACUGAAGUGAUAAGUUACCCCCCUGUAUCCAAUUUUCACUACGCCCCUGCUGGAAGAUGGACUGCGUUGCACUUGGGGCCAAGCAAGAGGUUGCGAAAGAGAGAAAUCGUGAGAGCGACAGAGAGAGAGAGACGUCGGUUAACAGAUAAGAGAUAAGGAGCACACCCACCUCCUUGUCCUUGAGUCCCAGCAGCAGAACCUCCUCCAUGAGCGUUAGUCGUGUUUCCUUGGAGUCGCCAUCGUCGAUAUUGUCCUCCUGGUCCUUUAGGUUGUCCAGUGCAUCCUGGUUGUCGUCCGGCGUGUUGGCAUUCAACCCACCCUCCGCCCCACCGUUUUCGCGGGGUUUCACCGAGCGACGCACCAAUCCGUCGGAGCGAUUCAUUCCGGAGAGUUGGGUUGGGUAGUCGGGAAGUUCGGAUCGAUGGAGUUUUGGAGAUGUGGGAUGCGAGCGGAGCACCUAUGUUUUUCUGCUGCUGCUCUUCUUCCUCUUUCCUCGUUUUGUGUGUGUGGCACAAUUUGCUGACUCGACGUUGGGAGUUUCACAGUGUGUGUGUGUGUCUGUUUGCGCGAGUGCGGGUGUUUGCGUUUUUCUCUGUGUACUUGUGUCUUGUGUUUUUGUGUGUUGUUGUUUUCACUGACUCUUUUGCGCCCCCUUUAUUUUGUAUUCUUUUGCACACACGCACUUUUCACACUAUCGC
ensembl:ncRNA asRNA:CR44114 antisense RNA:CR44114